rnacentral:rRNA from 1 species
UACGUAGGGUGCAAGCGUUGUCCGGAAUUAUUGGGCGUAAAGAGCUCGUAGGCGGUUUGUCGCGUCUGCUGUGAAAUCCCGAGGCUCAACCUCGGGCCUGCAGUGGGUACGGGCAGACUAGAGUGCGGUAGGGGAGAUUGGAAUUCCUGGUGUAGCGGUGGAAUGCGCAGAUAUCAGGAGGAACACCAAUAGCGAAGGCAGCUCGCUGGGACGUUACUGACACUAAGGCGCGAAAGCGUGGGGAGCGAACAGG